rnacentral:rRNA from 1 species
AGUAACGCGUAAGAACCUGCCCUUGGGAGGGGAACAACAACUGGAAACGGUUGCUAAUACCCCGUAGGCUGAGGAGCAAAAGGAGAAAUCCGCCCAAGGAGGGGCUCGCGUCUGAUUAGCUAGUUGGUGAGGCAAUAGCUUACCAAGGCGAUGAUCAGUAGCUGGUCCGAGAGGAUGAUCAGCCACACUGGGACUGAGACACGGCCCAGACUCCUACGGGAGGCAGCAGUGGGGAAUUUUCCGCAAUGGGCGAAAGCCUGACGGAGCAAUGCCGCGUGGAGGUGGAAGGCCUACGGGUCGUCAACUUCUUUUCUCGGAGAAGAAACAAUGACGGUAUCUGAGGAAUAAGCAUCGGCUAACUCUGUGCCAGCAGCCGCGGUAAU